rnacentral:tRNA from 2 species
GCCCAGAUGGUGAAAUUGGUAUACACAAGGGACUUAAAAUCCCUUGACCUACUUUGGUCGUGCGGGUUCGAUCCCCGCUCUGGGUA